ACCGUCCCACAGACAAAGGGUUUUUGCGAAGCCAGGACUAAUUUAGUGCAAACCUAAAUAAAUAUCGGCCCACAGAGAUCCUUUACAGAGGGGUUUGCCCUCGUUUCUUCUUGUGGAGGGCAUGGGAGUCUCCCUUCUACCUCUAAGAAUUCCUUUGUGAGCUUGAGUAUGGAAAUAAAAUGGGAGCUCCAUGAUGGUGGAGCCUUGUUUUUCUUCGCUGCUGUAUCCCUAAGACUCAGGAUAGAGGAUCUUGAAAAUUCAUCAUGUCAUGACCCAUAUUCGGGAAUCUGGCUAACAUUAGAAAUCCUCAGUUAUUUGAUGAAGUUUUUCAAAUCUUGAUAUGAUCAACAAGGGAAAAAAUCAAGACAAAAGAGGUACGUUGAACAUAUUUUCUUCUCUUGAUGUAACAAUAUUUCCUGGUGUGUGGAA
rnacentral:lncRNA from 13 species